GUCGAGAAUAAUUCACAAUGGACGAAAGUCUGAUGGUGCAACGCCGCGUGGAGGAUGACGGUCUUCGGAUUGUAAACUCCUGUCAUCCGGGAGUAAGACCUGGCUGUGAAUAGCAGACAGGGUUGAUAGUACCGGAAGAGGAAGGGACGGCUAACUUCGUGCCAGCAGCCGCGGUAAUACGAAGGUCCCGAGCGUUGUUCGGAAUCACUGGGCGUAAAGGGAGCGUAGGCGGCGUGGUAAGUCAGAUGUGAAAUCCCGGGGCUCAACCCCGGAACUGCAUCCGAUACUGCCGUGCUAGAGGAUUGGAGAGGUAGCUGGAAUUCUUGGUGUAGCAGUGAAAUGCGUGGAGAUCAAGAGGAACACUCGUGGCGAAAGCGAGCUACUGGACAAUAUCUGACGCUGAGGCUCGAAGGCCAGGGUAGCGAAAGGGAUUAGAAACCCCAGUAGUCC
rnacentral:rRNA from 1 species